UGCCUGGUAGCGCAAUUGGUUAGCGCGUCUGACUGUUACCGUGCUGACAUCAGGAGGCUGUGAGUUCGAGUCUCACCCGGGCAG